CGGGUGAGUAACACGUAAACAACCUGCCUUCAGGAUGGGGACAACAGACGGAAACGACUGCUAAUACCGAAUACGCUUGGGAGACCGCAUGAUCUUCCAAGGAAAGGGUGGCCUCUACCUGUAAGCUAUCGCCUGAAGAGGGGUUUGCGUCUGAUUAGGCAGUUGGCGAGGUAACGGCCCACCAAACCUACGAUCAGUAGCCGGUCUGAGAGGAUGAACGGCCACACUGGAACUGAGACACGGUCCAGACUCCUACGGGAGGCAGCAGUGGGGAAUCUUCCGCAAUGGGCGAAAGCCUGACGGAGCAACGCCGCGUGAGUGAUGACGGCCUUCGGGUUGUAAAGCUCUGUGAUCGGGGACGAACGGUCCGUAAGUCAAUACCUUAUGGAAGUGACGGUACCCGAAUAGCAAGCCACGGCUAACUACGUGCCAGCAGCCGCGGUAAUACGUAGGUGGCAAGCGUUGUCCGGAAUUAUCGGGCGUAAAGCGCGCGCAGGCGGCUUUCUAAGUCCAUCUUAAAAGUGCGGGGCUUAACCCCGUGAUGGGAUGGAAACUGGAAAGCUGGAGUAUCGGAGAGGAAA
rnacentral:rRNA from 1 species